UGGACCCAUGAUGAGAAUUCCAAGGUAUGAGCCCCAGAUGCUGCAUGAUAUGUGUCUGAAACUCCGAGGUCCAG